rnacentral:tRNA from 2 species
GGAGAGGUGGCAGAGCGGUCUAUUGCGGCCGACUGAUAAUCGUCUGAUCGGGCUUAACUCAAUAAUUCUGAUCCGCGGGUUCGAAUCCCGUCCUCUCCG